GACAGAGGGUGCAAACGUUGUUCGGAAUUACUGGGCGUAAAGCGCACGCAGGCGGUCUUCUAAGUUUGGGGUGACAGUUGGUGGCUUAACUGCCAAAGUGCUUCGAAAACUGACAGACUUGAGGGCUUCAGAGGGACACGGAAUUCCGGGUGGAGUGGUGAAAUGCGCAGAUAUCGGGAAGAACACCCGUGGCGAAGGCGGCUCUCUGGGACGGUACUGACGCUGAGACGCGAAAGCGUGGGGAGCGAACAGG
rnacentral:rRNA from 1 species